UACGAAGGGGGCAAGCGUUGUUCGGAAUUACUGGGCGUAAAGGGCGCGUAGGCGGCCGAUCAAGUCAGGCGUGAAAUUCCCGGGCUCAACCUGGGGGCUGCGCUUGAUACUGGCAGGCUUGAAUCCGGGAGAGGGAUGCGGAAUUCCAGGUGUAGCGGUGAAAUGCGUAGAUAUCUGGAGGAACACCGGUGGCGAAGGCGGGUCUCUGGGCCGAUACUGACGCUGAGGAGCGAAAGCGUGGGGAGCGAACAGG
rnacentral:rRNA from 1 species